rnacentral:lncRNA from 12 species
AGUACGUGUGCAAACAUGUGAAGUGCAGGCUACAGGUGUUGUUUGACAAGUGCAGUUCUGCAUAGCUUUGCCCUUUCCUUUUUUAUGUUUGUCAAAAGUCUGCAAAUCUCUUAAGUCUCAUAUUUGAACAGAAUGUUUUGUAUGUCAUCGACAGUGCCCACACAGCGGUAACGUCACUAAUGUUUAUUUUGUGAAGGCAUGCAAGUUCAUUGGGUGGAGAAGUCUUCGACAGGUUGCAACUGAAGCAUGUGUGUUAAUGUGUGUGUAAACAGAGAAGUCCGCAGAGGCAGUGGAAAAGUUGCAGUGGGUCGUAGCAGGUGUAAAUGGAUCUGAGGUCUACGGGCUCUGAAAUGGAAGCCUGUAGCAGCUGGAAGGCCUUAUGACUCACAAGGUCAGAAGGUCAAUGCAGCAGCAGGCAGCAGACUGCAUUUACCAGCGCAGAGACGCAGGGUGUGAGAAGAGCCUGAAACUCUGUCAUCAGAAACUCAGAUUGGGGUCAGGGAGCACCUGUAUCCUAGCCACGUCAGAGACUGGAUCACCAGUUCUUCAUGCGAAGGGAAAGGUCAGUUUAUGUGGGACUCACUUCCUCAUUUCUUUGUGAUUCAUUUCUCUUAAUGGGACAUUUGUCAUGCAUUAUGGGAAGCUAGAGCAAAUAAACAGGGAGGCAAUCCCAAGGCCUUUUGUGUAAAGCCACAAGGACACAUAAUGCCUACUAUUUGUUCCAUUCACUUUCCACAAUAUGUUUCCAUGAUUAUUUGUUCCACGAUAAAUCGGUAUUUGGAGAAUCUCUAUUCAUCAAUGGGUCUUUGGUAAUUUUGCAUGCUUAAAGUGUAGUGUGACCGCACCUUCACUCUAAUCCAACAGAACAGCAAUCUACUGGAGUUAUAGGCAGUGAAAGCUGGCUGAUCCCGGGGACUCUGCAUAUAUCAAAAUCCAAUGUGCUCCCUACAGCAUUCAGAGGGAACACACUGAUCCAAAGAGACAUGAGAUGAUCAGCAAGGCCUGUUUCAAUGCAUCAAGCUGAUGAUGACCAUGUAAAAAAACAGAUAAUCAAUGGCUCUUAAAAAAAAAAAAAAAAAAAACUUUAAAGAACAGGGCAUGCAUUUUCAGAUGUUUUUUUUUUUUUCCAAAUGCUGUAAUUUUAAUAUUGGUUCAAAUGAAAAAUUUAAUAGUUUGCAACUAUUAACUAAAAGAUAUAAGAAAUGUUGAGACUUAAUUUAUUAAGCUAAUUUCAAUACAGUUCUGCCUCAAAGGCACAGAGUUUCUUUUUAUUCUUUUUACCCUGAAUCAACAAAUCCUACUAUGGC